GCUUGCUGAUUCUUUCUCCUGCUUUAACAAGUCUGCUGUUGAACCUCUCUAUGGAAUUUUUCAGUUCAGUUAAUCUUUUCUUCAGUUCCAGAAUUUCUGUUUGGUUCUUUUUUUCAUAGUUUCUGUCUCUUUGUUAAACUUCUUGUUUUAUUCAUGUAUUGCUUUCCUAAUAUCAGUUAGAAUUAUCAAUUGCUGCCACACAUGGUUUUGUUAAAACAUCUGACAAGUAUUUGUAUUAAAGAAGGUAGUUUAUAGUAUAUGAAAUGUAUCAUGACUUACAAAAUAGAACUUGUGCAUCCCUUAGCUGCCAGGAAAGGCUCAGUCCACCUGUGACCCAGAAUCAAAAUAACUAGAUAAAUAAUUAUCUUAUCUGUUUUUAUUAACCUUUCUUAAAUAUAUGUAGAGCUCAAUUUUAUUUAAAUAUUUAAUAUCAGAAGUGUUUUUGGAACACUUUAUUUAGAAGUUUGGUGAGGUUUUGUAUCCAGAAAUAUACCACAGGAACUUA
rnacentral:lncRNA from 1 species